rnacentral:tRNA from 1 species
AAAGAUGUGGCUCAGUAGUUAAGAGCACUGACUGGUCUGACAGAGGACCUGGGUUUGAUUCCCAGCACCCAUG